AGUUUAAACUCUUCUAUGGUUCAUAUUUUCCUAUUAGGAACUCUGCCUAGGUUCUAUAUAUAAUAUUUAUGUUCUAAGGCACAAAUAAAGACGAUCCCAACGCUGCAUAAAUGUGGCUCAUUUUAGGAUUUUAGUUCAGUUCCAGAGUGUAACCUCUGACAGAGCAUCUGAGGUUAAACUUCAGGGGCAGAAGGACCCCAGCAGGAAUGGCAGCCAGAGGAAAUAAUCUGCCUGUCUGAAUAACGGCAGCAGAUAUUCUGGAAAUGUCCCCUCCACUCCUUCCAGACUGAUCAUCAGCAACAAUUAGCAGCCUCUUUAAUGUCAGCAUCCCUGACGACAUCUUACCCCCACAAACUACCAACCAUUGGCUUCUAUGGAGGUGUAGGCGAAACCUUGCAGCUCCUUUCCCUCCUAAGCCUUAUGGAGCAGCACUUAACGCUUCUGCACAGCUUUACCAUGUUGGCCUAGUUACUGUGUAAUAACCCGGUGGGUUCUGUGGCCUAUGGUUGUGUCAGUAAUGUUUCAUUAUUUGAAAAGCUGGUCAACAUCAGGUUACGUCAUUACAUCCUGACAUCUGAUUAUAGGUUUCAUAAGGCCGGUCAGUCAAGUCUUCUGGAAUAUGAGAUGACCCCUGAUCGAAUAAAUGACCAAUGAGCAGCUCUGCUGUUAGCUAUAAUCUACUGACGUCAUACCCGCGCCUCAUUACAAUAGAGUAACACCUUUGUUGACUAGAGCUCAGGUUUGCUUCGCUUUUUGCUUUUGUCAACUGUUGGUUUAUUUUGUGUGCAUUCAACACAAAAACUAACAACGAGUUGAAUGGGAAGUUGAACAAGCCUAAGCUCUUAUCUAAAUGUCUGUAGAAACAUUUGCUCGUAGUGGCAUCCAUAUUGGGCUAUUUCUCCUAACUCAGGCCCAGUCAACAGGUGGCACUGCUGAGCGUCAACAGAAGCGAGCCAUGUUUUAGCGCAGCUGGAAAGGCCUGGCUUCUUCAGCGGCUCGUCUGCCUGCGUCUCCUGUCGAAAAGUCCCGACAGGAGACGCAGGCAGAGCCUUGGAGCCCGCCGCCGCCGCCCCGCCGCUGCUCCCGCCGCCUCUGCUGCCUCAGCCCCGCGCGAGGCUGGAUCACAUUACAAAAAGCCAGCGAGCGGCCGCGAGCCCCCGCCCUCCCCGGAGCAUCGCGUGAGAGCAGCAGCCGACUCUCAAACUUGAUUGUGAUUAAUGCGCGAGGGCAAGAUGUCCAUGCCAGAGCAGCGCAGACGCGGCGUUAAGAGGCUGCCAUACUAAUUGAGACCUGCCAAUUUACAUGCACCAUACAAGCAUGACCAUCUACAGUCAGAUUAACAUGAACGUACAUGCUCAGCAGUGAGGACAGAUCAGCUUUUGCAGCAGAUCACAGCAUCUGCCUCACUGGAUGUCCUGAACAAAGCUCAAAGCAGACAAGAAACCCAAACAGGACUUCAGCCAGCCAUCAGGUGAAAAGGAGGACCCCAAAUGCAGACCAGUAGCUAUCCCCUAUGUUGCAGGAUUUUCAGAGAAUCGUUUAUUUCCUAAACAUGACCUUCCAGUGGCUUUCAAACCCCAAAACACAUUGGAGCAAAGACUGGUGGGUCUCUUCCUGUCAAUGUAAGGCUCAGAUUUGUGUAGACCUUGAAUUAACUUUCCUUUUGUUUUUAUUUCUGCAUGAUGAAUCAAAAGGCUACUUUGUUUCCUGCAAAAAUCUCCCUAACUCCUCUUUCUUUAAUAAAAUGUAUUUUUUAUGGCUCACCAGUGCUUUCAACUUGAGUUUAAAGUUGAGACACCUCUGAUCUAAACAUUCCAGUGUAGCUCUGAGGGCAUGUUUUGUUUUUUUACCUGGAAGGUGAACC